GGGCCCGUAGCUCAGCAUGGUGGAGCGGCGGUCCUGGUUAAUCGGGAGGCCGAGGCUCUUAACCACGAAACGGGAGACACCCGUAGGCCGUGGGUUCAAAUCCCACCGGGCCCG
rnacentral:tRNA from 1 species